GGAGGCGGACGGGGGCGGCAGGAGGGGAAGGAGAUGCCCCAGCCCACCCUUCCCUCCCACGCGUGUCAGGGGGCCGGGGUCGUGCCCCUCCGCCCAGGGUCGCCCCGGACCGGGUUCACAUCGCACACCCAAAGGGGACACAGGCUGGGCUUGGAGUUCUGCCCUGGGGCUGACCCCGGCCUUACCCCAGUUCCCCGGGGUCGCACCCUGCCUCAGGGGACCUGCGCAGAGCCACCCGGAAGGAGCUGUGCGUCUGCUCGGAAGCCCUGGACCGGGCUCGGAUCCCCCAGUUCCCCAGGACCUUGUCAGGAGAAGGGGGGGUGGUGGGCCGGGUGCUGGGUCGCCACAAAGCCUGCUGUGGUGCACCAGGCCAGCUGUGUGUGUGGGGGGGGCGGGGGGAGGCUCCUGGGGGAAGCGGUGCCCGGGGCAGGACGGGGGUCAAAACCAGACCGCACUGUUGGAAACACUGCAGCUGCCUGUUCUCACGACCCAGGUCACCAGUGGGCAGGGGCUCCCUGCACCCCUCCGUAUUUAUGCCCCGGGAAGGCAGCCCAGAGAGCCAAGGUGGCAGGGCCCCCGUGUCCCUCAGGCUGGCUUGAGUACCCAGCCUUGCAACCCCUGUUUCCAGGGAGAGGAACUAAACCUUUUAUUCUUGUGAUUUCCCAGGUUCAGGGAGGGGAGCCUCUGGAGUAGAGCUGGAAUGUGAACGUGGUGCAGCAUCCAGAACAUCCUAAGUGUUGACCCGCAUGGAAGCUUCAUCUUGGUUGAGCCUUUAAAGCGCCCGCAUGGAGUGGGUAAAGGACAGCAUCAAAGGCCCUCGGGUAAGAGAUGCUCUCAGGAGGCUGCAGGAAAUACCACGGCCAAAGCGAGGUGGCGCAGGAGGGCGGCUCCGCAGGAUGUGCAAACAGCGCCGCUGGUGGAGAAGACCAGGGGAGAUGGCUGGGACCCGUGCUGUGACCCCGGUGAGAAUGUGCGGGCUGCAGGCUCCAAUCCCAGGGGCCAGCCAGGCCUGGGCUCCGAACCCGAGUGCGGCUGCCACAGGCAGGAUUCCCGCCCAGGAUCCGGGACCCGCAGCUCAGUCACCCACACUUGCGCGGCCACGGAACCUGCAGCCCAGAACAUUGUUCCUUCUCCACGAAAGCUUUCUGCUUUGGUGCAGGGUCACCGACGCGGUGGAUGUACAGAGGACAAAAUGAGACGUCUGUGUUGUUUGGAAAACGUGAGGGCUGAUUCCAAAGCUGAGGUAGUACUUACCAUCGUGGGAUGGCCCACAAACGCUGACAGCGGUAGCAGGGUCUCAGUGUGACCUGCGGGACGUCACCGGUCAGUAUUUUAGCCUCUGUUUGCCCUCCCAGGACAUAGACACUUCUUACUCCACUGGCUUAUGAAGACUGAGGAAGUAUAAUCAUUUACAAACAAAACAAAGUCUAAGCUAAUUAAAACAUUUAUUUUGAGGGGC